AUGACGAUAACAACAACAACAACAUCGUCUCCAACCUCCACCAAUUUGCUCUCUUCUGCAAAACCACUCGUUUCCAGUUCGAGAAGAGCCCACCUGUGCUCCGCAGGUCGCCGGGAACCAACAGAGUUAGCCACAUCCUCUUCCACCAAAGAGGAAGAUGACAAUCUCAGGAGAGUUGUUCAAAUUGGGUUGUGGGGUGCUGAGGUUGCCUAUGUUUUGUGGCUCUUCUUGCUUCCCUAUGCUCCUGUAGAAAUUAAACCUGUGAUUGUAUAUAGAGGUUGA